rnacentral:rRNA from 1 species
AUAAUGGGUCAGCGACUUAUAUUCUGUAGCAAGGUUAACCGAAUAGGGGAGCCGAAGGGAAACCGAGUCUUAACUGGGCGUUAAGUUGCAGGGUAUAGACCCGAAACCCGGUGAUCUAGCCAUGGGCAGGUUGAAGGUUGGGUAACACUAACUGGAGGACCGAACCGACUAAUGUUGAAAAAUUAGCGGAUGACUUGUGGCUGGGGGUGAAAGGCCAAUCAAACCGGGAGAUAGCUGGUUCUCCCCGAAAGCUAUUUAGGUAGCGCCUCGUGAAUUCAUCUCCGGGGGUAGAGCACUGUUUCGGCAAGGGGGUCAUCCCGACUUACCAACCCGAUGCAAACUGCGAAUACCGGAGAAUGUUAUCACGGGAGACACACGGCGGGUGCUAACGUCCGUCGUGAAGAGGGAAACAACCCAGACCGCCAGCUAAGGUCCCAAAGUCAUGGUUAAGUGGGAAACGAUGUGGGAAGGCCCAGACAGCCAGGAUGUUGGCUUAGAAGCAGCCAUCAUUUAAAGAAAGCGUAAUAGCUCACUGGUCGAGUCGGCCUGCGCGGAAGAUGUAACGGGGCUAAACCAUGCACCGAAGCUGCGGCAGCGACGCUGAUGCGUUGUUGGGUAGGGGAGCGUUCUGUAAGCCUGCGAAGGUGUGCUGUGAGGCAUGCUGGAGGUAUCAGAAGUGCGAAUGCUGACAUAAGUAACGAUAAAGCGGGUGAAAAGCCCGCUCGCCGGAAGACCAAGGGUUCCUGUCCAACGUUAAUCGGGGCAGGGUGAGUCGACCCCUAAGGCGAGGCCGAAAGGCGUAGUCGAUGGGAAACAGGUUAAUAUUCCUGUACUUGGUGUUACUGCGAAGGGGGGACGGAGAAGGCUAUGUUGGCCGGGCGACGGUUGUCCCGGUUUAAGCGUGUAGGCUGGUUUUCCAGGCAAAUCCGGAAAAUCAAGGCUGAGGCGUGAUGACGAGGCACUACGGUGCUGAAGCAACAAAUGCCCUGCUUCCAGGAAAAGCCUCUAAGCAUCAGGUAACAUCAAAUCGUACCCCAAACCGACACAGGUGGUCAGGUAGAGAAUACCAAGGCGCUUGAGAGAACUCGGGUGAAGGAACUAGGCAAAAUGGUGCCGUAACUUCGGGAGAAGGCACGCUGAUAUGUAGGUGAAGUCCCUCGCGGAUGGAGCUGAAAUCAGUCGAAGAUACCAGCUGGCUGCAACUGUUUAUUAAAAACACAGCACUGUGCAAACACGAAAGUGGACGUAUACGGUGUGA